CUACACUUUUGAGUGUGAGAUUUCUUUUUUGAACCUAUUGACUCUCUCAUGGUUUUGCCUUCUUAUUAUUUAAAAACUUUAAUUGUGUAUUCUUCAGUGAAAAUUGUCAACACGUGAGAGUCCUGUGCUUGACCUAGGUUGUAGAGGCAGCAAUUUUUUACCCAAGUUUAUUUCUGUCAUAUUCCUACGGGUUUAAUUGGUUCUGGUUAUUCCUUUGUUUGCUUCUUGACACAGGUUUCUUUACCUUAGGAGUAAGUGUGAGUUUGGGUUCCACACUUUUUGUACAGGGUGGAUAUUCUUUUUCAUCUCAUGGCCCAGAGCAUGUGGCCUGUAUCUGUGUUACAUUUCCAUGCCAGAGGGCAGAUUUUGUUUUUCUAUUUCACUAACUCUAGCUCUCUUUUCAUGGAAGAGACAACUCCUUUGUUUUUUUUUUUUUUAAAGAUUUUAUUUUUUCCUUUUUCUCCCCAAAGCCCCCCAGUACAUAGUUGUAUAUUUCUCGUUGUGGGUUCUUCUAGUUGUGGUAUGUGGGACGCCGCCUCAGCGUGGUCUGACGAGCAGUGCCAUGUCCGCGCCCAGGAUUCGAACCAACGAAACACUGGGACGCCUGCAGCGGAGCGCGCGAACUUAACCACUCGGCCACGGGGCCAGCCCCGAGACAACUCCUUUCUGGUUCCUGGAUUUGUGGAUAAACUCUGGCUUCUAAGUUCUCGCUUCUUCCCUUGUACAAGCCACAAGAAUUCUGGUGAGUUCCAGGUGAUUAGGAAGAGACCACAGAAAACACGUGUAUGUGUGUGCAAACACACGCAAACACAUAUAGUAUGAGUAAAUGAAGUUUCCGGCUUAACUAGAGCAAAGACAGUGACUUGUACCUGCCAGAUCUGAGGUGCUCAGUUCUCAUCACUUUAUGCUCACCAUUUGGAGUGCUUUAUACCAACACACUAGAAUGUAGCUGCUGCGGAAGUAGUGGACUCAGACAUCGUCCUUGUCUCAGGUGGAGUUCACGGCCUGUAAGAAAAAAUGCAUGAAUGCCCUUAAGCUUAAUAUCACCUCUCCUGGAAAUUGCUGGACUGAGGAUUGAACUCAGCUCUUAUAAGGUCAAAUAAUAUAAUAUACAGCAUCUGCAGCAAGUUUGCAUGCUUUUUCCUCUGGAACCUCCAGGCUUCAUCAGGCCAUGAUGAGUCAGAUGCAUUUAGACGUGAUCCGGUGUGUUGGCAUGCAGAAAGUGGGUGAUUGGGCCGACAGACGUAUCCGUUGAAGCAGUACUAAGGAGCUUCUAUGCUACAAACACAGGACUUCUGAUAAAAUUCUGAUGUAAUUUUCAUAAAGAAAUAAAGUAUGUGACACAUUUAUGGUUUACAUGCUGCAUUAUUGAGUACAUUCUUUACCUGAUCAGAGAGAACUCACAUUUUGUCUUGGCAUUGAUGAGAAGCGAAUCUUUCACCUAUAACUUUACAUGUUUGGGGAUUGGAAAACUAUCUAAAAGCUAGUUUCUGGUCAUUCACUUCUUUCUCUCUUUUUCCUGCUCUGCUACCCACAUACUUCUGGUCCUAGGCCUUCAAAAACAUGUUCAUGUCAUGGUACCACCUCUGGAUCUGUCAGUAGUUGGUAGGAGGACUUCUGGGAGCCAUCGUACGGAUUGCAAUAACUUAACCGUACACAGAAAUCAUGACAAAUCCGAAAACUGUGCUCCAGUAAAUCUAAACUAAAUGUGUCUCCAAAUAAUUUCCCCUUGGCUGGAUCUCAAAAAUAUCUUUGGCUACUCUCUUGUCAUCCAAAAUCAGAGGAUAGAAAUGGAGUAGAAGGAGACAGAUUUCUUAACAAAAUUCAGCUAAAAUAUUUAAUUUUACAAGAUUUUGCAAAACCACAUAACCUUCAGGGUCAUGGAAGGGGCGGAUAAAAGUGAGGUAUGCUGAAGUUUCAAUAGUUUUACAGCAGACCUGACUCUAGGCAGUGCUAAAAUUUUAAAGAUGUAGAUUUUGCAUCUGGAGUUGAAAUCCUUGACUCUCCCUUGUUGGAUAAAAGUGUAAAAGCAGACGAAUGACUGAGGUUAUUUUCAAGUGUAAAAUUUCCCUGUAAUUUGUCAGCCGGUUGGCCAUUCUUUAUGGGUCUCAUUUAUGUGUACAGUGCUGUGUUGUUUUGUCACAGUCUACAGGACACCCCUAGUUUGCUAUGUGUCGGUUGCUAACACUUUCCAAUAGUUAAUGGCCAUGCUAUACUACUUUAAUUUACUUAAAGGUUUAGUAACUUCCUUCUGCUCACCUUAUUAAGUGUGCUGAGAAGG
rnacentral:lncRNA from 1 species